rnacentral:rRNA from 1 species
ACCAGGUGACCGGAUGCCGAUCUCGAAAACCUGUCCCAGUUCGGACUGGAGUCUGCAACCCGACUCCACGAAGUUGGAUUCGCUAGUAAUCGCGCAUCAGCCAUGGCGCGGUGAAUACGUUCCCGGGCCUUGUACACACCGCCCGUCAAGCCAUGGGGGCCGGGGGCGCCUGAAGUCCGGGACCGCGAGGACCGGCCUAAGGCGAAACUGGUGACUGGGGCUAAGUCGUAACAAGGUAGC